AAACUUUCAACAACGGAUCUCUUGGUUCUGGCAUCGAUGAAAAACGCAGCGAAAUGCGAUAAGUAAUGUGAAUUGCAAAAUUCAGUGAAUCAUCGAAUCUUUGAACGCACAUUGCGCCCCUUGGUAUUCCGAGGGGCAUGCCUGUUCGAGCGUCAUUU
rnacentral:rRNA from 1 species